UUAGCUGUUCUGAUCCGAGUAACCGACAGAAACAAAAGGGCACUCUGAACAAACACAUUAGAAUUCAGACAGGAAAAAAAACAUUUGGCUGUUCUGAGUGUGGUAAAAGAUUUGGACGAAAGGGCCACCUGAACGAACACAUGAUAAGUCAUUCAGGGGAAAAACCAUUUGUCUGUUCUGAGUGUGGUCAAAGAUUUGGAGUAAUGAGGAACUUGAACAAACACAUGAUAAUUCAUACAGGAGAAAAACCAUUUGUCUGUUCUGAGUGUGGCCAAAGAUUUGGAGUAAAGAGCAACUUGAACAAACACAUGAUAAUUCAUACAGGAGAAAAACCAUUUGUCUGUUCUGAGUGCGGUCGAAGAUUUGGACUAAAGAGCGACCUGAAAAGACAUAUGAUAAUUCAUACGGGACACACAAAUGAAAUACCUUAAGACCUUAAAAAUGACCUACGAACAACAU